AACGCCGCGUGAGUGAAGAAGGUUUUCGGAUCGUAAAACUCUGUUGUUAGAGAAGAACAAGGAUGAGAGUAACUGUUCAUCCCUUGACGGUAUCUAACCAGAAAGCCACGGCUAACUACGUGCCAGCAGCCGCGGUAAUACGUAGGUGGCAAGCGUUGUCCGGAUUUAUUGGGCGUAAAGCGAGCGCAGGCGGUUUCUUAAGUCUGAUGUGAAAGCCCCCGGCUCAACCGGGGAGGGUCAUUGGAAACUGGGAGACUUGAGUGCAGAAGAGGAGAGUGGAAUUCCAUGUGUAGCGGUGAAAUGCGUAGAUAUAUGGAGGACACCAGUGGCGAAGCGGCUCUCUGGGUCUGUAACUGACGCUGAGGGCUCGAAAGGGGUGGGGGAGGCAAACAGGAUAUAAGAUAACCCUGGGUAGUC
rnacentral:rRNA from 1 species